AUGAUGUCCAGAUUGGGCUUUCAUAGUUCAUGCGUGGAGAUGAUUAUGGCUUGUGUUACUUCUGUUAAUUACAAAGUGUGGUUCAAUGCAGAUGAAACAGAGGCGUUUACUCCUACAAGGGGGCUCAGGCAAGGAGACCCCUUGUCUCCUUAUUUAUUCUUAAUCUGUGCUGAAGGGUUAUCCAGUCUACUAGCGCAUGAGGAUGUGCUCGGUGGUAUCCAAGGGAUUAGGGUGUGUCGUAGUGCACCAUCAGUUUCACACUUGUUAUUUGCUGAUGAUUCCCUAAUUCUGAUGAGGGCGGAUACGUUGAAUGCCACGUCACUCAGGAAUGCUCUAGACAUGUACUGUGCUAGCUUAGGACAACUGGUUAGCGAUGCCAAAUCCAGUGUGUUCUUCAGUCCCAAUACUUCAGUGGAAGUGCGAGCGGAUAUCUGUUCACAACUUAAUAUUGUUUCAGAGGCGAUUUCGGAUAAGUAUUUGGGGUUAUCGUCAAAAGUUGGAAUUGACCGAGUGACAGUUUUCAACAUCUAG
rnacentral:rRNA from 1 species